rnacentral:rRNA from 1 species
UACGGAAGGGGCUAGCGUUGUCCGGAAUCAUUGGGCGUAAAGCGCGUGUAGGCGGUCCGGUAAGUCCGCUGUGAAAGUCGGGGGCUCAACCCUCGAAUGCCGGUGGAUACUGUCGGGCUAGAGUGCGGAAGAGGCGAGUGGAAUUCCUGGUGUAGCGGUGAAAUGCGCAGAUAUCAGGAGGAACACCAAUUGCGAAGGCAGCUCGCUGGGACGUUACUGACGCUGAGACGCGAAAGCGUGGGGAGCAAACAGG